AUACCAGGGUUCAGCCUCUAAUCCCUGAAGACCCAGCAACAGCAUAUGUCUAUGAGUUGCUAGCCCGGGUAACCCCUUUAGUGACCCGGGGUCUGACCCAAUUCCCUCCUUCAGAGGAGGAAUGUGGUCCAUAUAUGAAGCCAUGUCAGGGUUCAGCCUCUUAUCCUUGAAGACCCAGCAACAGCAUAUCUCUAUGAGUCGCUAGCCUGGGUAUCCCGUUUAGUGACUGGGGGUCUGACCUAACUCUCUCCCUCAGGGGAUGAAUGCGGUCCACGGUAUACCUGAGGCCCAGCCAGGGUUCAGCCACUUAUCCCUG